rnacentral:rRNA from 1 species
AUUUGCACAGAUUCAGUCAAUGGCCUGUGGGUAACGAUGAAAGAAUACUAUUGCUAUAAAUUGCAUACACGGCCAAACAUAUUCAACCCAAUAUUGCAUGGCGGACGACUUUUCCAGCAGUUUGCUGUAGAUACAUACAUCAAGAUUGAAAGCUCUAGACUAGAUUACAUCUGGCAUCAUCAAAAGGAAAUAAGGGCAGAUCUAUAUCAAGGCCUUCUAGACAGCAUUCAAGCUGGAGAAGAAAAGGGAAACGCAGUCGGAAAACAGAGGGUACUUGCAUCAUCAUUUAUUGGAGGACCACGCGAUAAACUUCGCCGGUAUCUAGAUGCUAUGGCUUCGGUUAGAAAAUAUGGAAAGCCAGACAUAUUCCUCACAAUGACCUGCAACCCCAAUUGGGACGAGAUCACACGUGAACUACAAUCCGGGCAAACACCACAAGAUCGCCCAGAUAUUGUAGUUCGUGUUUUCAGGGCGAAGCUAGAAGAAAUGAAGAAGCAACUAUUUCAGAAGGCCAUUCUCGGAAAGGUUAAGGCAUAUACAUAUGUUGUA